UGGCCGUCAGGUGGAUGAGGGGAAGGGGAGGCAGGAGGAGAGACCCGCGGCCGCCGGCGGUCCGAGUGGAGGGGAAUCUGAACUUCAGGUAAGAAGUGUUGAACUGCAGUCUAUCUGGUUCAGAUAUGAAUUAAGCGUGGGUGUAGUUUAUUUUCAUUGCGCUCGCUAACUCUUAACACCGCCAGUAGUUAUAAUUAGGCCGUUAAGCAAUUUAGUGCAUGCAAACUAACAUGAUGGGGUUUCUCUAAUGCUGGACGGUUUCUAUGAUGCUAUUCUAGUUGUAAUUAUGUUAGUGCUUAAGUAAAUUUAUUUUAUUAAUUUAGUUAGUUAAGUAUUAUCUCUAUUUGUUAGGUAGUUAAAAACUUUAUAAGGUCGAGCGGACGCGCCGGCGCGUCCGAGCACAUAACUUUUUUUUUUUUUUUGUAAGACAACACAGGCAAGAUCUAGCCUGGUAGUUUCCAUUCAAACUUCUGUCAAAAGUGCGAAAUCUCAACUAUAUGACAGUUUAUGAGUGGUCUCAAUUGGCCAAGUUAAACCAUAUUUAUGAUAAGUCGAUCACUCCAUGCAGACUUUUGGAUUCCUCUAAGUACUGUAUAGAAUACGUGAUUCAACUGAGUAAAAAUACCAGCACUGUGAUCAUCAGAGCAAGUCCAUCAGGUGACAUUCUUUUUCACCUCUGUCUCCUUUCACUUUGAAGGUUCCCAUGUUUGAGGAAGCAUUUGGUGUUGCUGUGCAAAGUGUUGCUGCAGUGGAGGUUCAAGGUUACUGUUUAUUGAUAUGGAUCCCAUCAUACUUUGUUCAUUGUUUGUUCAGGAUUUUGCCCUAAGUCUCCGUGUUUGAGGGCCUAUUCUGUGGAUAUAUUUAUUUGCACUUUUAUUGAUGCAGUAAAUAAAUAGUCUAUGAAAAAAUCACUAAAUCUGUCAUUUAUUCAUUUUAAUAUAUUCAUCAAUGAUCAUGUCUCACCUCUAUUCCGUAUUAAUCCCUGUCCUAAUUUCAGGAUCCCAUCAUACGUUGUACAUUGUUCAGGAGGUUAACUAGACCAUGCAGCCUUUUGAUAUCCGCUAAGUACUGCAUAGAAUAUUGGGACUGGAAGGAUGGUGUAUGUUUAAGUCUAUUUUAAAGUAUAUAUACACCAACAAGACAGUGUGAAAGCAUUGUCACAACAAAGUUUGUUUUCAUUCAUAGGCUUAAUUGUCUUUCCAU